CAGGCCUAACACAUGCAAGUCGAACGAUGGUCUUCGGAUCAUAGUGGCGCACGGGUGCGUAACGCGUGGGAAUCUGCCCUGGGGUCUGGGAUAACCGUUGGAAACGACGGCUAAUACCGGAUGAUGAUGAAAAUCCAAAGAUUUAUCGCCCUGGGAUGAGCCCGCGUCGGAUUAGGUAGUUGGUGGGGUAAAGGCCUACCAAGCCGACGAUCCUUAGCUGGUCUGAGAGGAUGAUCAGCCACACUGGGACUGAGACACGGCCCAGACUCCUACGGGAGGCAGCAGUGGGGAAUAUUGGACAAUGGGCGAAAGCCUGAUCCAGCAAUGCCGCGUGAGUGAUGAAGGCCUUAGGGUUGUAAAGCUCUUUUACCCGGGAUGAUAAUGACAGUACCGGGAGAAUAAGCCCCGGCUAACUCCGUGCCAGCAGCCGCGGUAAU
rnacentral:rRNA from 1 species